rnacentral:rRNA from 1 species
GGACUACCAGGGUUUCUAAUCCUGUUUGCUCCCCAUGCUUUCGCGCCUCAGCGUCAGUUUCAGCCCAGUAAACCGUCUUCACCACCGGUGUUCUUCCACAUAUCUACGCAUUUCACCGCUACACGUGGAAUUCCGUUUACCCUAACUGAACUCUAGUUCUCUAGUUUCAAAUGCAGCUCCGGGGUUGAGCCCCGUGAAUUUCACAUCUGACUUAAAAAACCGCCUACGCGCCCUUUACGCCCAGUAAUUCCGAUCAAUGCUUGCACCCUCCGUAUUACCGCGGCUGCUGGCAC